rnacentral:rRNA from 1 species
GGCGUCUUCGGCGUCCGCGUUGUAAUCUCGAGACGUGUUUUCCGUGCGGCUCUAUGGACAAGUCCCUUGGAACAGGGCAUCGUAGAGGGUGAAAAUCCCGUACUUGCCAUGGAAGUACCGUGCUUUGUGAUACACGUUCCAAGAGUCGAGUAGUUUGGGAUUGCUGCUCAAAGUGGGUGGUAGACUCCAUCUAAAGCUAAAUAUCGGGGAGAGACCGAUAGCGAACAAGUACCGUGAGGGAAAGAUGAAAAGCACUUUGGAAAGAGAGUUAAAAGUACGUGAAAUUGUCGAAAGGGAAGCACUUGAAGUCAGCCAUGCUGCUUGAGACUCAGCCUGGCUUUUGCUUGGUGUAUUUCUCGGUAGCAAGCCAGCAUUGGUUUGUGUCGUCGGAGAAGCGUAUGGGGAAUGUGGCAUCCUCGGAUGUGUUAUAGCCCUGUGCUGGAUACGACGACGCAGACCAAGGAACGCAGUGUGCCCUCUGGGCGGGUCU